AGAGUUUGAUCCUGGCUCAGGACGAACGCUGGCGGCGUGCCUAAUACAUGCAAGUAGAACGCUGAAGAGAGGAGCUUGCUCUUCUUGGAUGAGUUGCGAACGGGUGAGUAACGCGUAGGUAACCUGCCUUGUAGCGGGGGAUAACUAUUGGAAACGAUAGCUAAUACCGCAUAACAAUGGAUGACACAUGUCAUUUAUUUGAAAGGGGCAAUUGCUCCACUACAAGAUGGACCUGCGUUGUAUUAGCUAGUAGGUGAGGUAACGGCUCACCUAGGCGACGAUACAUAGCCGACCUGAGAGGGUGAUCGGCCACACUGGGACUGAGACACGGCCCAGACUCCUACGGGAGGCAGCAGUAGGGAAUCUUCGGCAAUGGGGGCAACCCUGACCGAGCAACGCCGCGUGAGUGAAGAAGGUUUUCGGAUCGUAAAGCUCUGUUGUAAGUCAAGAACGAGUGUGAGAGUGGAAAGUUCACACUGCGACGGUAGCUUACCAGAAAGGGACGGCUAACUACGUGCCAGCAGCCGCGGU
rnacentral:rRNA from 1 species